GAUGAACGCUGGCGGCGUGCCUAAUACAUGCAAGUCGAGCGAACAGACGAGGAGCUUGCUCCUUCGACGUUAGCGGCGGACGGGUGAGUAACACGUAGGUAACCUACCUAUAAGACUGGGAUAACUUCGGGAAACCGGAGCUAAUACCGGAUAAUAUUUCGAACCGCAUGGUUCGAUAGUGAAAGAUGGCCUUGCUAUCACUUAUAGAUGGACCCGCGCCGUAUUAGCUAGUUGGUAAGGUAACGGCUUACCAAGGCAACGAUACGUAGCCGACCUGAGAGGGUGAUCGGCCACACUGGAACUGAGACACGGUCCAGACUCCUACGGGAGGCAGCAGUAGGGAAUCUUCCGCAAUGGGCGAAAGCCUGACGGAGCAACGCCGCGUGAGUGAUGAAGGUCUUCGGAUCGUAAAACUCUGUUAUUAGGGAAGAACAAACGUGUAAGUAACUGUGCACGUCUUGACGGUACCUAAUCAGAAAGCCACGGCUAACUACGUG
rnacentral:rRNA from 1 species